GAUUUAUUAAGAAGAAGGGAGAGGAAGUCUCGUUGAUCUUCUAGCAACUUUUCAAUAAUUGAAAUAAGUGCUAAACUUUUUCCCGGGAUGUUUUCGGGAAUAUAAAUU
rnacentral:ncRNA from 2 species